UNGUUUGGUGCUGACAGGUUACCUCCAAAGU
rnacentral:piRNA from 1 species